CAGGGGGGUGUGAGCGGGUCUAGGCGGGCCGGAGACCCCCAGACAGCCGUUCUGGGGCGCCCCGAGGGGCCGGCGGCCACGCUGCGAGGGAAAGGCCCCACGUCGCGCGGUGGCUGUGUGGAGGGAAGGGCGUGAGGGGAGCGGCGAGGCGGGCGGGCUUUGUCCCGUGCGCUCCUCGGGAGCAGGGCCCAGGCAGGCACAGCCCCUGCCCUUACUCCUGCACCCCAGGGCCGCCGGGUCCUGUGCUGAGGAGCUGGGAGGCUGGCGGGGAAGGGAAAGGGUUCCCCGACCCCUGUCUCCAGCGAGCAGAGUGGGGACGCCGCUGGGGUACGGGCGUGCUCAGCAAAGUAGGGCAGCUUUUGCCACGAGCAAAGCUCUGCACCUUAAGUCACUGAAGGCUUGUGCGUAGGUAAGAGGCAAAGCCACGCUUCUGGGAUGAGAGACCACGCUGCCCUGCCCAAGUAAUAAGCUGGAAAACACAAGCACAGCUCCUUGGCCUGCUGUGUUUGCAAGUGCCUGGGAUACAAAUGAGGCGCAGCAGCCUGUACUAACAAGAUUGUCAGAAGCCAGACUGGGGAGUGAGGAGCUGUUCUGGGAACAUACUCCCAGACUGGUCACCCUGCCUGCCCCCAGCUGUGAUCAAUUCCCCAGUAACCUUCACCAGGUUAACCUGCAACAUGCCUGACAGGAAUCCAGACACCUCAGUUGGCUGAGGCAAAGAAAAUAUUUCCUCCCCAGCCUAGCACAUUUUCACUGUGACAAAUGGGUGUCCAGGUCUCUUCACACAUAGCACAAUAGCUGUGUGCCAGAGUCUUUGCCAGGUACAAAACUUCUCUGGCUUUCAUAGCUGGAAGUUAGAUUUUUAUCAAAUUAGGUGUGAUUUUAUAGCAAGGCAUGUAGUUUGAGUGGGUGCAAAUCCUCCAUUUGCUGUAAGUGUCAUUCACUGUGCAUUGUUUGCUUGCUCUUAGAAAGCAACAGGGAGCAGCCCAAGUUGGAUGCAGCUUCCAGUCUCUGAUUAUGCUCAGGCUAGUCUCUUGUCUUUGGCCCUUAAAAUUCUCAUCUAAGGAAAUACUCCAGCUCCUAUUGAUUCUGAGCUACUUCUGUGCCUGCACAAAGGUUUAGCCUCUGAUUGCAAAUGGAGCAUGCAAGAGAUUAACAACCCUAUGGAUUUAAUCUCAGGGUUUAUGAAAUGCUUCUCCUACACGUGCAAGCAAAGCAAUCAGCUGCUGGCUGGAGCGUUCAGAGGCACGGGGCUUGGUGUGAGCUGUGUGUCUCCAGGUGUCAUGGAGAUGUUAAACAGCUGUCCCGUACCUUUGCUGGCAAGCUGAGUGCUUACAGACCUUGAACUGAAUGAGCACCACAUCUUGCUACAGCUGGUCCAGCUGUGCAAGCAGCUAUUGAGCCACCAGCAGUCCAGUUAUGUCACGGUGAAUGUUGCAGACGUGUGUCACAGCAAUGGGGUCCUGUCCUCAGGACCCGCUGUUUGCUCCUGUCCCUGGUCUGCCCCCUUGCUUGGGCUGCUGCAGCGCCCCGGGUUCACCCUGUGAAUUGGACCAGUUGACUGCCACAGCAGGGGGUGACUCAAGUCUUACCUCUCACAUCUGCCAUGAGUUUUGAGAAUUACCGAAUCCUUCUGGCUGCAGCACCCAUGGUGACAACAUUGGUACUUCACAUCUUAUUUUCAGCCCUGUGGAGAGAUAUCAAUCCACUGAGCCAGCAAACUUGUUCUCAGGGAGAAGUCCUCAGAUACGACAGGGAAGAGCAGCACUGCUGCAGUGUUUGUAGCCACAGUGAGAAACUGAGAGCUCAAGGAGGAAGGACAUUAAGUACAUAGAGCGCUGAACCGCAUAAUUGUGCUUCACGCUGUGUCUUUGCAGCAGUUUUCUGGAUUAGCAGCAAGGAGGUCCUCGGAGCAGGAGCAUGCAAAGGGACUGACAAACAUUACUGACUGCUACCUACACGGGGCUUUGGCUUUUUCCUAGGCUUUAGCUUCCCUGUCCCAACCACCUCUGGGUCCUGCACAGUUGCUCCUUCAGCCAUAACUGCCCUGUGCUUUCCUGGCAUGUUCUUCGUUCCCACAGUUGAAUUAUUUUUUGUUUUUGAUAAUUCUUCCAGAUUAGCUUGGCUCUUUAAGCAAUUGCUUUUACCUUUGUGUCCUUGUUAACACUCUCCACACCCUCUUUUUCCUGUGCUCUUGUCUCAGGUCCCAUCAUGUUUACCUUCAAUUGGAAAUGGCCUGGGGCUAGGGAGUGUGUGUAAUUAUGAAAUGGAUGAUUAAAUCUCAUUAUUCUGUAGAAAUUACAGUUAAUAGUGUUCUUAAGAAGCCAGGAGAAUAUGUAUUGGAUCAUUGAUGAUAUAUGGAAAGGCAAGAAUUCUUAUAUGACAUGCUAUCUUUAAGAAAAUUAUCUUAAAGCUUGGUUGCUGUCUAAACCCUUGAUAUGUCCCUUAUAAUCUUAUGCUGCAUUUAUUCUAGGAAUAAAAGCCUGUGGCACGUUGCCUCAUUGGAUUUUUUACUACAGAACACCAUGUACUGCUAAAACUGUGAUUGAACCGGUAAAUUUUAGGUGGCAUGGAUAGAAAAAAUGAUAGGAUCAAGAGCCAUCCAUACCCACAGUCAAUUGACAUCACCAUCAGUCUAAGGCAGCCUUAUUGUUCUAAGCUACUAUUUCUUUAGUUAUCAGCAGGGCAGAUGCAGUUGUUUGAGAGAGGAGCAUUAAGCAUAAAUGUUAGCAACACACUUUGAUGUCUCACAGUGUACUGGGAAAAAAAGCUUGUCCUCACCACAGCUGGUAAGGAUUAACAGCAGCAACUUUGCUGUGAAGUACCCUGCACCCACAAGCUUCUAUAUUUCCUUGGAUUUUUUUUUUAAGAGCUAAAUAUUUGGAGGAAUCAAUUGGCACUUCAGCAUAUGAUUAAACCCGUUUGUUGUGACACAAGGCCUACUUGCUUUCAACAGAGUAGGUGUGGAGGCAUCUCUGUUCCAAAGAAGCUGUUGCUCACUGCUCAGGUCCUCCCACUUCCAUGCUGCUUUGCUGAGUCCCCAUCUUUUCACCUGCAUUUCCUCAGCGAUGAUAGGUCUUCUGAUGCAACUGCAGCUUCCCUGUCUGAGUGCACAAUGCCGGGAUUUGUCCUCUUUGACUUUUGUUUUCCCGCGUUACCAAACUUUGGAUGACCCUGAAGCUUCAUCUUUCCUGGCAGCUAGGGCUGACCAGUCUUGGGGAGACAGAAACUGGUUGGUCUUCGUGUAUCUAAGUGGAUAUUGUAACAAAGGCAAGGUAGUGGAAGAGUGGGGUUUAGCUAGAGUAAUGGUGUAAUACAAAAAACUUUGGCAAAAAAAGAAUGUUAACAACAAAAGGGCUUUAGGGACAUGUGCAAGGUACUCAGUUACAAAGGGAAAUAGAUGUGAGCCCACCACCAGCUGUCACAUUUUGUAGAUCUAAUUAUUGCUCAAGUUAGUGGGCCCCAAUUUGCACAAAAAAAAAAAAAAAAAA